GAUGAACGCUGGCGGCGUGCCUAAUACAUGCAAGUCGAGCGAACAGACGCGGAGCUUGCUGCGCUCACGUUUGCGGCGCACGGGAGAGUAACACGUGUAUCACCCCCCUAUCAUACUGGUAAAACUUCGGGAAACCGGAGCUAAUACCGGAUAAUAUAUUGAACCGUAGGGUUCGAUAGUGAAAGACGGUUUUUGUGUCUCUUCUAGCUGCAUACGGGCUGCAUUAGCUAGUUGGUCAGGUAACGGCUUACGAAGGGAACGAUGCGUAGCCGAGCUGAGAGGGUGAUCGGCCACACUGGAGGUGAGCCGCGGUCCAGAGUCCUACGGGAGGCAGCAGUAGGGAAUCUUCCGCAGUGGGCGAGAGCCUGACAGAACGACGCCGCGUGAGAGAUGAAGGUCUUCGGAUCGUAAUACUCUGUUAUGAGGGAAGAACAGAUGUGUAAGUAGCUAUGCACGUCGUGACGGUAACUGAUCAGGAAGCAACGGCUAACUACGUG
rnacentral:rRNA from 1 species